GCCGGUGUAGCUCAGUCGGUAGAGCAACACAUUCGUAAUGUGUGGGUCGGCGGUUCGAUUCCGCCCACCGGCUCCA
rnacentral:tRNA from 1 species